CGACGGGAGCUUGCUCCCUURGGUCAGCGGCGGACGGGUGAGUAACACGUGGGUAACCUGCCUGUAAGACUGGGAUAACUCCGGGAAACCGGGGCUAAUACCGGAUGCUUGAUUGAACCGCAUGGUUCAAUCAUAAAAGGUGGCUUUUAGCUACCACUURCAGAUGGACCCGCGGCGCAUUAGCUAGUUGGUGAGGUAACGGCUCACCAAGGCGACGAUGCGUAGCCGACCUGAGAGGGUGAUCGGCCACACUGGGACUGAGACACGGCCCAGACUCCUACGGGAGGCAGCAGUAGGGAAUCUUCCGCAAUGGACGAAAGUCUGACGGAGCAACGCCGCGUGAGUGAUGAAGGUUUUCGGAUCGUAAAACUCUGUUGUUAGGGAAGAACAAGUACCGUUCGAAUAGGGCGGCACCUUGACGGUACCUAACCAGAAAGCCACGGCUAACUACGUGCCAGCAGCCGCGGUAAUACGUAGGUGGCAAGCGUUGUCCGGAAUUAUUGGGCGUAAAGCGCGCGCAGGCGGUUUCUUAAGUCUGAUGUGAAAGCCCCCGGCUCAACCGGGGAGGGUCAUUGGAAACUGGGGAACUUGAGUGCAGAAGAGGAGAGUGGAAUUCCACGUGUAGCGGUGAAAUGCGUAGAGAUGUGGAGGAACACCAGUGGCGAAAGGCGACUCUCUGGUCUGUAACUGACGCUGAGGCGCGAAAGCGUGGGGAGCGAACAG
rnacentral:rRNA from 1 species